UGGGGAAUUUUGCGCAAUGGGGGAAACCCUGACGCAGCAACGCCGCGUGGAGGAUGAAGUCCCUUGGGACGUAAACUCCUUUCGAUCGGGACGAUUAUGACGGUACCGGAAGAAGAAGCACCGGCUAACUCCGUGCCAGCAGCCGCGGUAAUACAAAGGGGGCAAGCGUUGUUCGGAAUUAUUGGGCGUAAAGGGUGCGUAGGCGGUUUGAUAAGUCUGAUGUGAAAUCUCUGGGCUCAACCCAGAGUCUGCAUUAGAAACUGUCGGGCUUGAGUAUGGGAGAGGUGAGUGGAAUUUCCGGUGUAGCGGUGAAAUGCGUAGAUAUCGGAAGGAACACCUGUGGCGAAAGCGGCUCACUGGACCAUAACUGACGCUGAGGCACGAAAGCUAGGGGAGCAAACAGGAUUAGAUACCCGCGUAGUCC
rnacentral:rRNA from 1 species